UACGAAGGGUGCAAGCGUUACUCGGAAUUACUGGGCGUAAAGCGUGCGUAGGCGGUGAGUUAAGUCUGAUGUGAAAUCCCCGGGCUCAACCUGGGAAUGGCAUUGGAUACUGGCUCGCUAGAGUACGGUAGAGGGUGGUGGAAUUCCCGGUGUAGCAGUGAAAUGCGUAGAGAUCGGGAGGAACAUCUGUGGCGAAGGCGGCCACCUGGACCAGUACUGACGCUGAGGCACGGAAAGCGUGGGGAGCAAACAGG
rnacentral:rRNA from 1 species